rnacentral:lncRNA from 10 species
CCAAGGGCACAGCAGAGGAAGUCUAAGGCCCUCCCUGUCUCUUCAAGGAUUGCUGGGGCAGAGAAGGGCUGGCCUGGCCUGGCUGGGGCUGCUUGCAGGAGGAAGUGAGAGCCCUUGGCCCUCUAAGGAUACACACCUUUUUCCUCUGUCACUCCUGCUGCUUAGAGAACUUGGUGAUUAGACAGAAGUGUCCCAAGAUGGGAAGAGGGGAGUCUACAUCCACCUUUGCUAAACUUGCAGAAACCACCCUAUUUCUCAGAGGAUUCAGGGUCAGCCAAGGAAGUCAAGCCUAGCUAUGGGGGACCUUUCCCGAGGGCAGAGCUUCUACUGGCCGCACAGAGAGAGUGACAGGUGCCUGGUAUCCCCCUCUGUCCCACUCUUGGGCCUUUCCCCACUUCCCUACAUGGCUGAGCUCUGGGGAGCUAGCCAGGCCCCAGUCUGAGGCCUGCUUAGGGACAGGGGACAGGGCAUCCUCAGUGCAGGAAUUCCCUGGACACCAGCCCCUGAAGGCGGGCACCAGCUUCUGUAUGGCCACUGUCAAUGACAGGGUGUUCAUCACCUCCUGAUACAGCCUGGUCCAUUUCUGAGCAACUUACAGCUUGUUCAGGUUCUUUCCGGGACAGCCAGGAUUACCCUGCCAGUGGUAGCACCUGCUUCGGCCUGCCCCUUACACCUCCCAUUCUGCACUCUUGGUAGUGCUGCCCUCCUAGAGCACAUAGAACAUUUUUCUCCAUGACAGACCUUCAGGUAUUUGGAAGCAGUAACCCUGUCUCCUCUGGGUGGGCACUCGGCCAGGCUAAACAUUCCAGGUCCUGAGAGAGGGUGCUGCUCGGACACUGUGGGAGGCCUGCCUUCCCUUGGCAAUUUGACUCCAAGAUGCCUGUUUUGGAGAUGGGGCCAAGGCAGUGCCUCUCAGGGAGGGGGCCACUGGGCUGGGUUUCCAUCGGAUUUUCUGGCUGGUGUGGGGUGCAUGAUGGUG